rnacentral:rRNA from 1 species
GAUAAACGCUGGCGGCGCACAUAAGACAUGCAAGUUGAACGGACUUAAUCGAAAUAUUUAUAUUUUGAAGCGGUUAGUGGCGGACUGGUGAGUAACGCGUAAGGAACCUGCCUAUUAGAGGGGAAUAACAGUGAGAAAUCAUUGCUAAUACCGCAUAUGCCAUAGAUAUCACAUGAUAACAGUGGGAAAGGAGCAAUCCGCUAAUAGAUGGCCUUGCGUCUGAUUAGAUAGUUGGUGGGGUAACGGCCUACCAAGUCGACGAUCAGUAGCCGGACUGAGAGGUUGAACGGCCACAUUGGGACUGAGAUACGGCCCAGACUCCUACGGGAGGCAGCAGUUGGGAAUAUUGCGCAAUGGAGGAAACUCUGACGCAGUGACGCCGCGUAUAGGAAGAAGGUUUUCGGAUUGUAAACUAUUGUCGUUAGGGAAGAGAAAGGACAGUACCUAAGGAGGAAGCUCCGGCUAACUACGUG